rnacentral:rRNA from 1 species
CGAGAAAAGCCUCUAGAUAGAAAAUAGGUGCCCGUACCGCAAACCGACACAGGUAGUCAAGAUGAGAAUUCUAAGGUGAGCGAGCGAACUCUCGUUAAGGAACUCGGCAAAAUGACCCCGUAACUUCGGGAGAAGGGGUGCUCUUUAGGGUUAACGCCCAGAAGAGCCGCAGUGAAUAGGCCCAAGCGACUGUUUAUCAAAAACACAGGUCUCUGCUAAACCGUAAGGUGAUGUAUAGGGGCUGACGCCUGCCCGGUGCUGGAAGGUUAAGAGGAGUGGUUAGCUUCUGCGAAGCUACGAAUCGAAGCCCCAGUAAACGGCGGCCGUAACUAUAACGGUCCUAAGGUAGCGAAAUUCCUUGUCGGGUAAGUUCCGACCCGCACGAAAGGCGUAACGAUUUGGGCACUGUCUCAACGAGAGACUCGGUGAAAUCAUAGU